rnacentral:rRNA from 1 species
CUCAGGACGAACGCUGGCGGCGUGCUUAACACAUGCAAGUCGAACGGAAAGGCCCUUCGGGGUACUCGAGUGGCGAACGGGUGAGUAACACGUGGGUGAUCUGCCCUGCACUUUGGGAUAAGCCUGGGAAACUGGGUCUAAUACCGGAUAGGACCACGCGCUUCAUGGUGUGUGGUGGAAAGCUUUUGCGGUGUGGGAUGGGCCCGCGGCCUAUCAGCUUGUUGGUGGGGUAAUGGCCUACCAAGGCGACGACGGGUAGCCGGCCUGAGAGGGUGACCGGCCACACUGGGACUGAGAUACGGCCCAGACUCCUACGGGAGGCAGCAGUGGGGAAUAUUGCACAAUGGGCGCAAGCCUGAUGCAGCGACGCCGCGUGAGGGAUGACGGCCUUCGGGUUGUAAACCUCUUUCGCCAGGGACGAAGCGCAAGUGACGGUACCUGGAGAAGAAGGACCGGCCAACUACGUGCCAGCAGCCGCGGUAAUACGUAGGGUCCGAGCGUUGUCCGGAAUUACUGGGCGUAAAGAGCUCGUAGGUGGUUUGUCGCGUUGUUCGUGAAAACUCACAGCUUAACUGUGGGCGUGCGGGCGAUACGGGCAGACUGGAGUACUGCAGGGGAGACUGGAAUUCCUGGUGUAGCGGUGGAAUGCGCAGAUAUCAGGAGGAACACCGGUGGCGAAGGCGGGUCUCUGGGCAGUAACUGACGCUGAGGAGCGAAAGCGUGGGGAGCGAACAGGAUUAGAUACCCUGGUAGUCCACGCCGUAAACGGUGGGUACUAGGUGUGGGUUUCCUUCCUUGGGAUCCGUGCCGUAGCUAACGCAUUAAGUA